UCGAGAAUCUUCGGCAAUGGGCGCAAGCCUGACCGAGCGACGCCGCGUGCGGGAUGAAGGUCUUCGGAUUGUAAACCGCUGUCGGAGGGGAUGAAGUGCAUGGGGGUACUCCCCUGUGUUUGACAGAGCCUCGGAGGAAGCACGGGCUAAGUUCGUGCCAGCAGCCGCGGUAAUACGAACUGUGCGAACGUUAUUCGGAAUCACUGGGCUUAAAGGGUGCGUAGGCGGCGACUCAAGUCAGGUGUGAAAUCCCCCGGCUCAACCGGGGAACAGCGCUUGAAACUGGGUUGCUCGAGUGAGGCAGGGGUGUAUGGAACUUCCGGUGGAGCGGUGAAAUGUGUAGAUAUCGGAAGGAACGCCGGCGGCGAAAGCGGUACACUGGGCCUUGUCUGACGCUGAGGCACGAAAGCUAGGGGAGUGAACGGGAUUAGAUACCCCCGUAGUCC
rnacentral:rRNA from 1 species